GACGAACGCUGGCGGCAUGCCUAACACAUGCAAGUCUAGGGGUAGCAAUACCACUGGCGCACGGGUGAGUAACACGUAGGUUAUCUGCCCCCAUCACAGACAUAACCCCGGGAAACCGGGGCUAAUAUCUGAUGAGGUCGCGAGAUCAAAGCUUCGGCGGAUGGGGAUGAGCCUGCGGCUGAUUAGCUAGUUGGUGAGGUAAUGGCUCACCAAGGCGACGAUCAGUAGCUGGUCUGAGAGGACGAACAGCCACACUGGAACUGAGACACGGUCCAGACUCCUACGGGAGGCAGCAGUGAGGAAUAUUGGUCAAUGGGAGCAAUCCUGAACCAGCAAUGCCGCGUGUGGGAUGACGGGGCUUCGCCUUGUAAACCACUGUCGGACGGGACGAAAGGAGGCCUCGGGCCUCUGGGACGGUACCGUCAAAGGAAGGUCGGCUAACUACGUGCCAGCAGCCGCGGUAAU
rnacentral:rRNA from 1 species